AAAGCUGCGAGGUGGAGCGAAUCUCCAAAAAUUAGUCCCAGUUCAGAUUGCAGGCUGCAACUCGCCUGCAUGAAGUCGGAAUUGCUAGUAAUCGUGGAUCAGCAUGCCACGGUGAAUACGUUCCCGGGCCUUGUACACACCGCCCGUCACACCAUGGGAGUCGGUAACACCCGAAGCCUGUAGUCUAACCGCAAGGAGGACGCAGUCGAAGGUGGGAUUGAUGACUGGGGUGAAGUCGUAACAAGGUACC
rnacentral:rRNA from 1 species